AAAGCAUAACUCAAAGCAGUUCCUUUGCUUCUUCCUUUUCUUUCUCCAAUUGUCUUAAAAUUCCUCUUGUUCCUUUUUUCUUAUAAACUAGGAAUUCAUAUCGACUAGAAGAUUUGGAUAAAAGAAUCACUUAACUAUUGGGGUUGAUCCAUCUGAUGUUUGUGGCCCUAUGACCACGUCAUCAAGAGGAGGCUUCUCAUAUUUUAUAAAAUUCAUCGAUGAUCACUCUUGGUUGGGCUAUGUGUAUCUUAUGAAGCACAAGUCCGAAUCCUU
rnacentral:lncRNA from 1 species